AACGAACGCUGGCGGCAUGCCUAACACAUGCGAGUCGAACGAGACCUUCGGGUCUAGUGGCGCACGGGUGCGUAACGCGUGGGAACCUGCCCUUAGGUUCGGAAUAACUCCCCGAAAGGGGUGCUAAUACCGGAUAAUGUCUUCGGACCAAAGAUUUAUCGCCUUUGGAUGGGCCCGCGUUGGAUUAGCUAGUUGGUAGGGUAAAAGCCUACCAAGGCGACGAUCCAUAGCUGGUCUGAGAGGAUGAUCAGCCACACUGGGACUGAGACACGGCCCAGACUCCUACGGGAGGCAGCAGUAGGGAAUAUUGGACAAUGGGCGAAAGCCUGAUCCAGCAAUGCCGCGUGAGUGAUGAAGGCCUUAGGGUUGUAAAGCUCUUUUACCCGGGAUGAUAAUGACAGUACCGGGAGAAUAAGCUCCGGCUAACUCCGUG
rnacentral:rRNA from 1 species